GACGAACGCUGGCGGCGUGCUUAACACAUGCAAGUCGAACGGAAAGGCCCUGCUUUUGUGGGGUGCUCGAGUGGCGAACGGGUGAGUAACACGUGAGUAACCUGCCCUUGACUUUGGGAUAACUUCAGGAAACCGGGGCUAAUACCGGAUAGGAGCUCCUGCUGCAUGGUGGGGGUUGGAAAGCUUCGGCGGUUGGGGAUGGACUCGCGGCUUAUUAGCUUGUUGGUGGGGUAGUGGCUUACCAAGGCUUUGACGGGUAGCCGGCCUGAGAGGGUGACCGGCCACAUGGGGACUGAGAUACGGCCCAGACGCCUACGGGAGGCAGCAGGGGGGAAUAUUGCACAAUGGGCGGAAGCCUGAUGCAGCAGCGCCGCGUGCGGGAUGACGGCCUUCGGGUUGUAAACCGCUUUCGCCUGUGACGAAGCGUGAGUGACGGUAAUGGGUAAAGAAGCACCGGCUAACUACGUG
rnacentral:rRNA from 1 species